ACAUAAUACUAAAUAAGUAUAUACAUUCCAUAUUAUCACAUCAAAAACAUAAAAACGCAAUUUUGUUUUAAGUAUAUUUUCGCUUACCUAAAGUCUUUAAUAGUUUUUUAAUUAAUGUAGAAGUGUAAAAAAUAUAAAAAAAAUAUAUAAACACUCGUAAUGACAAGCUUUUUUCAACGAUCCAACCGUCAAACUUAUUUGUACACAUUCCAAGAUUGCAUACGUACAAAAUUUUAAAAAAAAACAAACAUUCAAAUAUUACGUAACAGAACAAAAGUUAUCGACGGUUAUAAACGAAAAAUCACAAUUUAACUGUUAUUUUAGCUCCAAUUUUGAUGAUUUUUUUACAGAUACACUCCUCGACCCUAUAAGAAUGUAACGAAUAAAUUUGAUCUUUAAUUUAAAGUAUUUACACUAGUAGAUACCACAAAAACUUAUUUUAUACUUAAUAGAAGUAUAAUAUUAACUUUAAGUGUUUGUUUAAUCUAUUGUUUUGACGCAAUAUGCAUUCUACGAAACAUUUUUCAACGAUCCAACCAUCAAACUUAUUUGUACACAUUCCGAGAUCGCAUACAUAAAAAAUCGUAAAAAACAAACAUUCAGAGAUUACGUAACGGAACAAAAGUUUUCGACGGUUAUAAACGAAAAAUCACAAUUUAACGGUUAUUUUAGCUCCGAUUUUGAUGAUUUUUUAUAGAUACACUCAUCGACCCUAUAAGAAUGUAAUGAAUAAAUUUGAUCUUUAAUUUAAAGUAUUUACACUAGUAGAUACCACAAAAUCUUUUUUUAUACUUAAUAGAAGUAUAAUAUUAACUCUAAGUGUUUGUUUAAUCUACUGUUUUGACGCAAUAUGCAUUCCACGAAACUUUUUUCAACGAUCCAACCGUCAAACUUAUUUGUACACAUUCCGAGAUCGCAUACAUAAAAAAUCGUA
rnacentral:lncRNA from 1 species